UCCUCGACUCCUCUCCCCGACCUCUCUCCUCUUUCUCCUAAUCUAGGUGGCUGGGUGUAUCCUUCCCGGCAGGGCCGCCGACCACGAUAUCGACCUUGACCAGCGGCCCCCCUCCCUCUUUCUCGAUCUCUAGCGGCAGCGCGCAUAGCAAAACAGCGGCAUCCUCUCUGUUGAUUUCCAUACCACGACGGUGUGCUCGGAGCCGUCCUUUAAGGUGGAACGCAACCACCGCCGUCGUCCAGCCCUCAAGGAAGACCCUAUGCCGCCGCCACUGGCCUUAUGGCUCUGGAGCCCCUCGCUGGUGCACAAGCAGGACAAACAUGCCAUAAGCAUAAGGGAUUUGGGGGACUUGGGGCACUUAUCUGCAGGUCAUGAUACCCUCUCCUCUGGAUGUUGAUGUCAAACCCUCCACCAAGGUCAAAACUUUGUGCUAUGAGGUAAAGGAAAUAAUUCUGGAGGAAACUAAGGUUCAUGUAUGGUUGAUCUUCCCGCAAAUUUUGCAUCGGUGUCAUUUUAUUAAUAUAGUCAAUUGGUUGUUACAAAAUAUAAUUAUGGUUUCCUCUGUUCAGUUUUAGUAACAUCAUGCCAUCAUCCUCAUAGUUGUGUUUUGCACUUGUAUUUAUUUAUGUUCUAUUCAGUUUUCUUGUGUAGAAGCAACCAACUAGAAAAGGCAGGAAGGGUGUCUUAAUGUUCAUGUUUUGGUGCUGCAUACAAGAAGUUGCCUGCUCUGAGUUUUAUUUCAUGAAGCAUACUUCAAUCUUUGAUACAAGUGGAAGAUGGUGUUAUCGUCAGCCAGUAUUGGUUGUUGCUGCAGGAUUACAUUAACUAUUUUUUGCCAAGAUUGUUGUGUCAUCCGAGCAUUUUUCUCUGUACGGGUAUUCCUCUUGAAAUCUCCCAAAUAAAAUUCCUUCAAGUUUCUUUCAUAGAUUCAUAUAUUAUUAUUGCUAAACUUAUAUCAUGGAAAAGUUUAUAUUCAUCAUAUUGUUUGUAGAAUUCUCACAGCUCUAUGUGUUUGACUGUUUGUCCUUUUUGUUACAUCCCAUUAGGCAUGAAAUAAGUUCCAUUGUUUUUUACUUCAGAACUGUCUUGCCUUGUUGUAUCUGUGUGUCGCUAGACCUCCUCUCCCACUAUGCAUGUGUGUUGCUUUGGGAAUCAUUGCAAAAGAGAUUACAAUGUAAUUUUGCUAGAUUUUUUAAUGACUUCACUUUGUUUGAAUGUGGGACCUAAUAGGCGACACAUGUAAUAGUAUUUUGACUUAUCCACUUUUAGUGUAGGAGGCCUAAGCGAGCUCGGAGAAAACUUUUGAGCAAUCUACAUGACAGAUCAUAAAUCGGUUACAUGUAUAAUUUUUGAUGUUAUAGAUCUGAAAGCAAUCAGCUUUUAUAUAUUGUUACUCUAAAUCUCUAGGUAUCUAUUACUUUAUUUAAUUCUAAUUUCUACUUCAAUGAUUCCUUGCAUGUUAUAAAUCAGAAAUCUUCUAUGUGUACCAUAUAUUGAGUUUCAGAUGGAUGCUAAGACGAUAGCACUGGAGCACCAACUUAGUUCCAGUGUAUGUACAUGAUUCUGUAGUCCCUCGGCCGGAAACAUUUAGUACUUGCCUUUUUUGUAUUUUCUAAUUUUUUUAUUUCCUUAUUCUACAGAUGGCUGAUUAAGUGCCUGAAAGAAAACCAAUUGCGAUAUAUACUGGAGUUAGCAAAAAAUCAAGAACAAUAUACUAGAAAUAUAUACUAGAGUGUAUGAACAUCUUAAAUCUGUUGCAAUAUAUGUCAGCAUCCAAAUUUUAUUUUUGCACAUCCCGUAGAAUAUCUUUCUCUAAAUCGGCCCAUUUUCAAUUAUGAGCAGCAAUAGUACUACAUCAACAUUAUAACUUAGGUACGAUUGUUUUUGCUUUCUAAUUCAUGAGUGUCUCUGCUAUUAGUGGAGUACAGACUCAGUAUCUAAUUUUUAACAUGUGAUGCCAUGGAAACUAUGUGGUGAACAUGACUGAACAUUAUAAACUUGCCUCAAGAACACAAAAGUCCAUUCCACUUAUUCGCUGGUCCUCAUAAAUACUCAUGUUGCUUAUUACAGUUCUGAGGUAUGCCAAAAAAUUAAGACGGGUUUAAGUGUAUUUCUUUAGAAUCUCUAACCCUUAGUAUUAAAAUUUCAAGAGAUAAAACAAUCCUAAUAAUAGCUCUAGCCAGGUUUAAUUUAGGACAUUAUUUUUGGUUGUUGAACAGGGUUUCACUGCCCUGUCAGUGAUAGUUCAAACUUGAGAUAGCUCUGUACCAGAUGAAAAGAAGUAACACAACAAGCAAGGGUGCCAAUGAGGCUAUAGACUCUUAUUGCUCAGACUUAUUCAACAGAAUUGCAGAAAGUUUGGUUGUUGCCAGAUGAAGUUGUUGAAGAGGAUUCAAGUUUCAUUUAAAUAAAAAAAUUGAUCGACUCUUUGCUGUAAUUAAUUUCAGUACAAAUGCAUAACAAGUAAUCAUAAUCUAACUUGAGCAGCUCAAGGAUACACUGGUUUCAUUCUAGGUGUGCUGGCAUAUUACGCAUCUUCGCAUUUAUUCCAGUUCACUUUGGUUCUAAUACUCUUUGUCUUUUUUCUUACACAGAUGUUACUUGCUAUAUCAGUUAUGUUGUCACGCGACGAUGUGGUUGCUGAUUGGAUGACAUUUCAGUUUGGAUCUUAUUUAAUUCAUGCAAGUGUAGCAACACCCUUUUCCAUGCUGUUUUUUUGUAAGACUUUUCAUUAUUGAAUGGGAUUGCCGAUCUAUCACUUUCCUACAGCCUGGUUUCUCUUCAAAACUGAAUUACUAUAUGAUUAGUACAUAUUUGUAAUUCUGUAUUAUGUAGGAUAUUGUUAUUUGAUAUUCUAUAGCUAAUUAUCCUUGUUAGCACUCUUAUCACUUGAAUGUGAUGAACUCCAUGAGAAAUAGCCAGGUGCAUUAGGCUCACCUAAGUCUUCUUUGUUUCCGAACAUGGUGGCCCUUUAGUACAGGUUUGAAGAUUCGGGUAAUGCACCAUGUAAACAAUCUACUUAUUGGUCUGAAUAUUUUUAUUUUAGGAGUACGGGUUAUCUCUUAUUAUGUCUUGGUAGUACUGAUUAGUUGUAUUUAUUAUCAAAAUUGUUGUAUGGACUAAUGUAUAUGUUGUUAUACCAAUCCAGUUUGCAUACGCGAACCUUGCUUUUA